UAAGUAGUGAUAGUGUGUAUCGGUGUUAUUAUGUGUAUAUUACAUUUUUCCGAAUGUAUUCCCUGUUAAAUUAAGUUGAUAAAAUGGACAGUUGUGUUUCAUUUUUUAUGUUGAGAAUCACAACUAUCUGUUUCCCUACAUAU